rnacentral:rRNA from 1 species
UACGUAGGGAGCAAGCGUUGUCCGGAGUCAUUGGGCGUAAAGCGCGCGUAGGUGGCCCCAUAAGUCCGCUGUGAAAGUCAAAGGCUCAACCUUUGAAAGCCGGUGGAUACUGUGGGACUAGAGUACGGAAGAGGCGAGUGGAAUUCCUGGUGUAGCGGUGGAAUGCGCAGAUAUCAGGAGGAACACCAAUAGCGAAGGCAGCUCGCUGGGACGUUACUGACACUGAGGCGCGAAAGCGUGGGGAGCGAACAGG